rnacentral:rRNA from 1 species
AUUGAACGCUGGCGGCAGGCCUAACACAUGCAAGUCGAGCGGCAGCGGGAAAGUAGCUUGCUACUUUUGCCGGCGAGCGGCGGACGGGUGAGUAAUGCCUGGGAAAUUGCCCAGUCGAGGUGGAUAACAGUUGGAAACGACUGCUAAUACCGCAUACGCCCUACGGGGGAAAGCAGGGGACCUUCGGGCCUUGCGCGAUUGGAUAUGCCCAGGUGGGAUUAGCUAGUUGGUGAGGUAAUGGCUCACCAAGGCGACGAUCCCUAGCUGGUCUGAGAGGAUGAUCAGCCACACUGGAACUGAGACACGGUCCAGACUCCUACGGGAGGCAGCAGUGGGGAAUAUUGCACAAUGGGGGAAACCCUGAUGCAGCCAUGCCGCGUGUGUGAAGAAGGCCUUCGGGUUGUAAAGCACUUUCAGCGAGGAGGAAAGGUCAGUAGCUAAUAUCUGCUGGCUGUGACGUUACUCGCAGAAGAAGCACCGGCUAACUCCGUGCCAGCCGCCGCGGCAACAC